ACAACCUUGUUUGAUUUCUGCGACUUCAAGACAGAGCCUCCAGCGCUCAUCCAGGCGCCCUGGGUGAUAGACUGGCUGGCCUGAGUUGGUGACUGAGAAACCUCAGGGAUUUGAAAGAUGCCAGGACUUGGGUCACUCAGAAAAGAAAACCUCAGGGUAGGGGUUCAGGACAGAAGUGGGGAGGAGCUGGAGAUCCUGAGAGGACACCGGGGGCAUGGCAGCCGGGAAGAAACCUGCUUAACAGCCUCAGCGGCCCGGGGAACGAGAGCGCCCAGCCCCAGCCUGCACCCAGCUGUACGCUGAGGCUGGGGACCAGGGAGAGACAGGCUUUCUUAAGCAGGGAGGGUUUGAGCCAGCGACAGCCACUGUGCAAAGUUACUGAGGAUUAAACAAAUCAGACUUGAAAAAUCCA
rnacentral:lncRNA from 1 species